rnacentral:rRNA from 1 species
AUUGAACGCUGGCGGCAGGCCUAACACAUGCAAGUCGAACGAGUGGCGGACGGGUGAGUAAUGUCUGGGAAACUGCCUGAUGGAGGGGGAUAACGACGGGAAACGGUAGCUAAUACCGCAUACCAUCGGAUGUGCCCAGGUGGGUUUAGCUAGUAGGGGGGGUAACGGCUCACCUAGGCGAAGAGCCCUAGCUGGUCUGAGAGGAGUACCAGGCACACUGGAACUGGGACACGGUCCAGACUCCUACGGGAGGCAGCAGUGGGGAAUAUUGGACAAUGGGCGAAAGCCUGAUGCAGCCAUGCCGCGUGUGUGAAGAAGGCCUUCGGGUUGUAAAGUACUUUCAGCGGGGAGGCGUUACCCGCAGAAGAAGCACCGGCUAACUACGUGCCAGCAGCCGCGGUAAUUC